GAAAUGCGAUAAGUAAUGCGAAUUGCAGAAUUUCCGUGAGUCAUCGAAUCUUUGAACGCACAUUGCGCCCGCCAGUAUUCUGGCGGGCAUGCCUGUCCGAGCGUCAUUUCAACCAUCAAGCCCCCGGGCUUGUGUUGGGGACCUGCGGCUGCCCGCAGGCCCUGAAAACCAGUGGCGGGCUCGCUGUCACACCGAGCGUAGUAGCAAUCACCUCGCUCAGGGCGUGCUGCGGGUUCCGGCCGUUAAACAGCCUUACAAAACCCAAGGUUGACCUCGGAUCAGGUAGGAAGACCCGCUGAACUUAAGC
rnacentral:misc_RNA from 1 species